GUGAGCCACAACAAUUGGGUGCACAGAACUGUGGGACCCCAGCAGCACCAACUACAACAACUCAUCCCCCCUCCCCCUAACCCACAUCUCACUGCCUUUCCGUCUUCAGCUUUAAGAACUGAAACAUAAGAAGAAAAAAACAGAAACAAGACAGAAAGGCCAUAUGAAGGAGGAGAGAUGUGAAGCAGGAGAGAGAAGGGGGCAGGAGAUGGCCAAGGGGAGGAGAUCUUCAGGAGCAAUGGGAGUGGUUGUACGUGUAAACAGAGGAUUCAUUGAAAUCGGUUACAGUGCCUGUUCAACCUGAAACGUCUCUGGAGCAGCACGUUUUUGUCACACCACAGAAAAUGACUCUAUGGUCUGGGCCCUGGAAUGCUGAGCGCUGUCACCUAGUGACAUCACAGGCUGAGCUGUGGGUGUGGGGAGGCGGACCACCUACUGAAGCUGGAAUCUGGGGGCUGACUGAUUGGGCCAUCAGCAGGGGAGUCAGAGGUGAGAGGGCCCAGCGUUUUCUUGGCGGCGGACCUCCAGUGCUGACAGGACUUGGCGUUACGCCCGGACGGCUGCGUGGGGAAUAAUAUCUGCCAGAACCUGACCUCGCAGCCCCAGGGUUUGAAUCCCGCCCUUUAAAUCUUCAGCGCGUUCUGAGAAACAACACCAGUUACAUAAUUACAAAGAAUGCCUGGAUUAAACACUGAAAUAGCACGUUAAAAGGUUACGGAAUGGUCACGACCCAAACUCGGAGUGGAUCGCUUUCGAAUUCUCUGGCUUCUGGGCUUCCAUCCAUGACCAGACGAGCAACUUUCCAGGGUUCGAGAGGAGCAGAGACUGCUUCGUGGCACAGGUUUGACCUCGGAGAGCAGGAAGGAUUCUGCAUGGGUGCGCAGAACUACAGAGGAACAAGCAGUUACGUCUCUGACUGCAUUCAGACGGGCUAUGGGCUGGAAGGGGUAACGAAAACAUGUUCUUUGCUGACAAAAAGGGAAAUGGAAUGUAUUUACAAGUGCUGAGGACUGGGUGUCCAGUAGAUGGCUGUGAGACUUUGGGAACGUAUGGACUAUGGACGUAAAACUGUUAAGUGCCCCAUCUGCAAGCUCAUAUCUGAGAUCCCAUAAUCGGGAUAGUGUUAAUCCAGCAAUUUAUGAUUUUCAAAAUAUUCUUAUAAAAAUAAAAGAAGAGAAAUGUAUGUGUGCACAGACUUAAAUGUACGCAUAGGUGCCCACAUACACGCACACAUGCACACACACACACACACACACACACACACUCCUAUAAACAUGAUAUUGUGUACAAACAUCCACAUAUGAAAACAGUUCAAAUGUACACAUAUGCAUGACCUCUCUCUGUCUCUCUCUCUCCCUGUGUGUGUGGGGGGGGGGUAGUGGGUGGUGGUGUUGUCAUAGAUUAGUUGAAGCAGAAAUAUUUGAGCUGCACGACGUCCCUUGUGAAGCCCUGCCAAAGGGAGCAUAUCGCCACGGACACCGUCUGAGUUCCCAGAAUCCUGUGGGGUCUCGGCCCACUUGCGUUCCACCUCUUAAAAAGGAGAAGUAAAAGGACGAUGUUGAAUCAUGACAGAAAUAUCACCUGGAGUUUUCAUACGAGGGUGCCAGUGAUCGAGGAGUGGCCUGGCUGUAACUGGGACCGUGGGCGUUAAUGUCCAAAUCAAAUUCUCCCGGGUGGUCUUUGCCAUUGUGGACAAACUGGAUCCAUUUCACUGCUGAAUGCUGAUCGCAAUCAUCCUUCAGAUCCCCCGACCACUUUUAUUUGCAUUUAUUUUUACAGAGCGAGAGAAGCCACAGUACACUGGCUGUUUACAGACUUACGGCCUGGUUUUACUGUAAUGGCUAGGAAUUUAAAGAGAGAUGUUUUCACCCACUGAAACAUUACACUCAGCUGUUAUCAAUUUGUGCAGGACAUUUUGUGUGUGUGUGUGUGUGUGUGUGUUUCCAAUAAUGAAAUCUCACUCAACAGCUGUAGGUCUCCGACUCAAAAUAUUGCUGUCCGGCCAAGCACACCAGCACACUGCACUCUUUGUAGGCCAGGGUUUUUUUUCUUUUUAAGAGAAAAUGAGAAACACUGCAAUAACUUAUUAUUUCUUUUUCUUUUAGAUUUGGUUAUGAUAAUAUGGAGAAUGUUGUGCAUGUUCAUAAUUAUGGCUUAAUUCCUCAGGUGCUCCACUUCCUCAUAUAGUUCCCAUUCCAUUUUUCAUUGCUGAAUAAGUGAAAUACAUUCCAGAAAACUGCCUGCCAUUUGCUUCAGUAGGAAAUAUUCUCCCAUUACUUGACCAUAUUAAUCUAGGUUUAGAAAAUAAUAAUAGCAGAAAAUGAUGGAGAAUAAUAGAUGGUAGGAAUAAUAAUAAUAAUAAUAAUAAUAAUAAUAAUAAUAAUAUGCUGGCAGUGUCUGAUCUCAGGUGGAGCUGAAGUGUCGUUCAGGUGCACAGCCUGGGCCCUGUUUGCACAACAAGUGUUUUGUGCAUUUCCCAGCAUUAUGCAGGGACAUUAAGUGUGCUUGCGUUUGUGUACACACACAGACACACAUCACAAACACACAAACACACGCAUGCACACAAGCACAAACACACACACACACACACACACACACACAAGCACAUACACACGAACACAAACACACACCCACUCUCACAUUCAUAUAAGGCUUAGCAUAUGUACACAUAUUAUUUUGUUAUACUGUAUCAAAUAUACACCUGAUAGAUGUUCGUUACAAUGGGUACAUUUAUAAAUUCUUGUCCAGCUACUCUCUAUCCCAGCGAUCUUUUUACUCAUUGGAUUACCCUUGGGGUAUUCUAGUAGUUUUUUUAUUGAGCGACUAAAAGUGCGUAUCCAUGACACUCCUGCAACGUUGCACCCAUAAACAGAACCAUAUGUGGCGGUUGCCGUGAUUCUUUAUACAUAGAAACAUUUCCUCACUCACUUUACUCCAUACGUGUUACAACUUGAGGGGCAUUGUUGUAUCUACCCCCAGUCACAUCUGCACAUGUGCGGUCGCCAUCUUCUUCGCUACCACUGGCUUGCCCAGCUGUGUCUUACGUUCUGAGCUUUGUAUGAACUCACCAUCCAAAGGAAGUCAUUUGUGAAGCAGGAGACAAACCAAUGUGCAUCAUGUUUAAAUGUCUAAAAACAUGAAUUGUCAGUCUUGACAACCCUUAUCACAGUCCAACUGAUAUAGACUGGGAAAGACUGUUAAUUAUAAUUACAUAAAUUUCUGAGUAUAAAUUUAAUAGAAUAAUUCUAUUCUUUGGCGUGAAACAACUGGUGUUUGGUUAUAUGUGAGGUGCUUUCUUCCUGAAUGUUAUUCAGCCCGUGCUUGGUUGAGAGCUAGUCUGUGGUUUCUGCUUUGCACAGUAUUAGAACGGUCAUCACAUGGAAAAUUGCAGCUUUGCGUCAGUGGUGUUGGUCUGUGGUAAGCUGUGCUGGAUGUACCUCAGAUUGGACACUGGUAGGUCUCGCCUUCAACUUUUCACACAGCUGUGUCAGUUAAAUCACGGGCUAUUUAAGCGUUUCCCGGACAUGACAUCUUGGUGUGGUGUACUGGGUAAAGAGUUGGGCUUACAGCCCAAUGGUUGUAGGUUUAGAGCCCAGAACUGGGAACUAAACCUGUCAUUUUUGUGCACGCUAUUUAAUGAUACCUUAACUGCUUUAGAAAAUGUCCAACUGCAGUGGUAGGUAAUACAUAUGCAUAAAUUCUUAGUUUCCCUAGAUAAGGUUGUGUGCUAUGCAACAAAAAAAUGUAUAAAUCAUUUAAGCAAAACAUUAUUACAGAUGGGCUCACUGUAUAGCGUUCAUACCGUUGGUAACUGAUUGAUAGUCAUCUUGGCAUUGUUCAAAAAGUGUUGUGUCAAAAAUAGCUGGAAUGUAUGAACACCUGGCAAUGGAACAGGUUUGUUAUUGCAUUGUGUUGAAGGUAACAGUUGUGCUCACAUUUGAGAUGGUUUUGGGACAGGUGCUCUUACAGUAGGCCCAAAUGUUGAAGGGGUUGAGGUUAUGCAAACAAAGAUGCUCUGUACUAUCAAUUUCCUUUUACAGAACCGCAUUAAAGAGUUUUCACUCUGCUUUCGGACGGAAAGUGUAUGACUUGAACUUUGAUUCGAAAACCACACUGCAUGAGGCAUGCAAUGACAUACUGUACUGUAAUACCAUAGCAAUUUCAAGCAUGGAUUUGCCACAUUAAUAGUCUUUCCAAGCUUCACGGCAAAUGAGCAGCCUGUAUUUGCCAUGAAGUGGAUAGUAAAUAAUGACCCGACAUGCAGUAAAUGAAUUAAAAACCUCCAUGGACCAUAGGAGUGAUGCUACAAUUGCUUUAUCUUACUGUAAUGUGCAAUGAAAGCUUUCUACUUUGAUUUAAAUUAAAGCAGUUGCUUAAAUUGGUAGUGUAUUUGUUUUUUGGUUGAACAUACUAGUGGUAGUUGAUUUCAUGUAGUUGUAAAUAGCAUACAUUAUUUUGUUUUGUUACGAUAUGAAUAUUUAAGUAUCGCUUUAUAUUUUUGCGAUGUCUCAGCGAAAGAGCAUAGACUUGGAGUCAUGUUUUAGUUUUUGUAGGGUGAUUGUGGUUGUGUUUAUUAGCUAUGCUAAUGACAAAUUAACAUAACAAUAAAAACAAAUACAAAUAAUAAUAAUAAUAAUAAUAAUAAUAUAAAUAAAAGUUAUGCCAAAAAUUACAAAACAAUUUCCAUAGCUGCAAAUAUAUUUAGUCUAGUCUUAAUAAAUAGUCUUAGUGUCUCACAUUUUAGGAUGUUUAUGUCCUCUUUAUUAUGUUGACUAAGUAUUGCAAAUUUUGCUGUAUUGCUGUGUAAAGCAUCUUUUAAACUCAAACUAUCUGGAACAGAAGACUCCUGUGGAAUUUCCUCUAACAAAGAAGGAAUUUUUAGGAGCGCUAUGGGCCUGAAAAUAUGGAGCGGUUUUACUGCGUGUACAAAUGAAACAAACUUCAAACUCCAAACUCCAGUUUGUAGAAACAUAAGUACUGUAGAGCUGGAUAUGCAGACUGUAAUAUCAUUUGACAACCCACACACUUCCUGAGACCUACUGUUGUUCACAGUUGGAUCAGUUUUAAAAAAGGUUAGAAAUUUCACUCCUGCAAUGACAGUGUUGUCUGCGCACGUGGGGGAAAACUAAAAUUGUUACUGUCAUAUAUAUAUGUAUAUAUAUAUAUAGUUAAUAGUAGUAAUAAUGCUACAUAUAUAAAUGGUAAGCUUUAUGAUAUUUGAGACAAAUAUAUUUUUUCUUGAUUACGCUCUGGACUGUAUAAUUUUAGAUUAGUAAUUCAUAUGUGGUUAAAGUACAGAUUAUCAGAUUUUGUUAUUUAUCAUAAUGGCUUCAUUGGCUUUCAUUUGCACAACUCUGGUACGCAUGAUGACAAAUUCCAAUAACAGACUCCAAAGGCAAUGAAAAGCCUAGAACCAAGACUAGGUACUGAAAGCUCUCUUAUACCUGCACUAUAGAAGCAACUGAACAUAGCUGACUUAUCAGAAACACCCGUGAUACCAUUUGUCCAAAACAUUAUUGUACCCUGGAUGGGGGCAAUGUACUGCAUAAAAAGUGUUGUAAUUUCUACAUGGUGAAACCAAAGUGUAUAAAAAUACCCUUAAAUAAAAAUAGAAGCUGAGAAUGUGCUUUUUAACCACAUGUGAAUUGUUUGAGUACAAAUCUAAAAUAGUGAAGUACAGGGUCAAAUGAAGGAAAAAUAUGUAUUCGCCCCAAACAUUAUUAUAUUUUUCUCUCUUUCUAGUUAAAUACUUGGAAUAUGUUAUACGUCCAACAUACCAUAGCAGCUAUAUGCAGACUCCCCACUGGUAGAUUCUAACUGCAGUUAUGAGGCUGCUGUUAAACUGUGCUCAAACUAAUGUUAUAGAGCAUGCCAAGCAGCCAUGCUGAAGAGAUAAUAAAUCUCAGCCAUGGAAACCAUAAAAAGGCAGUCGUCCCUAUCGCUAAUAGACAUAUUUCACUGCAGUGAGGUGACAUCCCGACCUGUUGUUUCUUCUUUUUAUUUUUUAUUUUCUGAAGUAGCUGUCUUUGCUGUAAUGGUUACAGAUGAAUCUAAUUUGGCCCGUCUCCACUCAGAUCAGUCUCGGUCAGCUCUGAUGAAUGCGAGUGAAUUGGGGUGGGCUUUCAUUCAUCAUUAGCCUUGCAGUCAGAUGACAGUGGGGCCUGGGGUAUGUAGUGAAAUCACCCGCGGAUAGGCAGUAAUGACCCUCCCACACACACACACACACAAGUACACGCACGCACACAUGCACACACACACACACACACACACACACCCACACACAGACCACGCACACACACACACAUACACGCAAGCACGCAUACAGACACGCAUGCACACACACACACACACACACACACACACAAAUCUGGAUUCACCUAUAAUCUAUUAUUGAAAAGUAACAUGGUGAAUGUGCAACUAUUAUGUGAAAUAUGUGUCCGGGUGAACUACAAAUGAGCAAAUACUGUAGAACACAUUGACAUUUUUAGAACAAAUAUUGUAUAACAAAUAUAAGUUUCCAUUUAAAAACAUCAAAGGCUCAGUUAUGGAUAUAUUGUACAAACAUUUCAUGUUUUUUCAUAUGUUUAAAAUUCAUUAAUUUGAGUAUUGCACUCUGUUUAAAUAAUUCCGUGUGGAGCUGUUUAAAAAAAAGAUACAAAUGUUAUUUAGACUGAGUGGAAAAGAGUCCAUAUGACAGUUUGGGUUGUGGUCUAACCAGAAAUAUUGUGAUAAAAAUAAAAUUGUCACAGCUGUGUUUUGUGAUCUGCAUAA